ACUUACUGACUUAUUUAUGCCCACAUAUACUGCAUUAACGCAAUGAUCACCGAUGACACUUCAUUUGCGAAUGUUGUGUUUUGGUAUAGGGUGCAAAGUGUGCGAGCUGGGUUGCAAAGUGUGCGAGCUGGGGGAAAGUUGGGUAAUGGGUCAAAACUGGUCGGGUCAGGUUUGGUUGACCCAUAACUUUUAUAUAUAACAUGUAGUUUCUACUUUAAUUACAAAAUCGUGUUAUUUCAUGAUAUUUGCUUUUAUCCAGGUUUUUGUUUUGAUAAUUAUCCGAACAUGACAAUGAUGCAUAUCUUGAAGCCUAUGAAGGUCUUUGCCGGAACUAUCCUUACAUUGUUGAAUAAGAAGAGGGAGUAAGGCACCUAAUGAAAAUCCUUGCAGCCACUAGAAAGUAUUGACCCGCCUUAUUAUUUUCGGAUAUAUGUGCCUUUGUCAUAAAGAGACGACCAACAGACAACGACAACAACGAUGCAGUGAUAAACAAGACAAUUGAUGCCGUAUUUUUUAUAGCGCUGUGGUGCUUGAAUCGGGUUGUGAUUGGUAACGAUUUGCAAUGGUCGUGCCUACGCAACUUAUAUCGGAGGUUAGUAUGGUGAAAUUUGCAGUUUUUAAAUUUGAAGUCGCAUCUUUUUCAUUUACGCAACUAAUGGAGUUGAUCAACGUCUGCUAUCUAAUCUUCUCAUACAGUGAUGAGAUAACCGGAGCGACGUGUUGAAGCUGGUUAGUUUCGUGUUGGUCAUAUUCAUUUAAGUGUGGUCAUUUCCUGCCAGUAAAGUAUGUAGAGAAGAAGAGUUCGAUGAAGACGUAGAAGGGAGGAACGAGAGUCGAGAUAAGGAAGAGAAUGUUGUGGUAGUAGAGUGGUCGGUUGGUGACGAUGACGGUGAGUGGUAGCGGAGGAAUUGAACCAGACGAGUUUGGGCGAUGGUGAGUGGCAACCGAUAACGAUGGCAGUUUUGGAGUCUUGAAUUGAAACGUUGAGCAGCGAUUUAGGGAUCGGUGUCGGCUACGUGCUCUGUUGUUUCUGCAGUUAGAUUGUUUUGUUCUUUUUCCUAAUCUUUAAUGGUAGAUUGGACCAUGCUUAGUGAA